AUUGAACGCUGGCGGCAGGCCUAAUACAUGCAAGUCGAGCGGAGCGGCGGACGGGUGAGUAAUGCCUAGUAAUUUGCCUGGGAGUGGCGGAUACCUCACGGGAAGGGGAGCUAAUACCGCAUACUUUCAGAUCAGUUUAGGGCGGAUUAGCUAGUUGGUGGGGUAAAGGCUUACCAAGGCGACGAUCUGUCACUGGUCUGAGAGGAUGAUCAGUCACACUGGAACUGAGACACGGUCCAGACUCCUACGGGAGGCAGCAGUGGGGAAUAUUGGACAAUGGGCGAAAGCCUGAUCCAGCCAUGCCGCGUGUGUGAAGAAGGUCUUCGGAUUGUAAAGCUCUUUAAGUUGGGAGGCGUUACCAACAGAGUAAGCACCGGCUAACUACGUGCCAGCAGCCGCGGUAAUAC
rnacentral:rRNA from 1 species